CAAUAAUGUUAACCCAAUUGGGGUUCGGAGCUGUUAUGAUGAGGGGAAGCGUGUGGCAGAGACAUUGAUGUUUGACUACCACCGACAACAUGGGAUUGAAAUUCGCAUUGCUAGAAUAUUCAAUACAUAUGGACCUCGGAUGAAUAUCAAUGAUGGGCGUGUUGUCAGCA